rnacentral:rRNA from 1 species
UACGUAGGGUGCAAGCGUUGUCCGGAAUUAUUGGGCGUAAAGAGCUCGUAGGCGGUCUGUCGCGUCGGAUGUGAAAACCCAGGGCUCAACCCUGGGCCUGCAUUCGAUACGGGCAGACUAGAGUUCGGUAGGGGAGACUGGAAUUCCCAGUGUAGCGGUGAAAUGCGUAGAUAUUGGGAAGAACACCAGCGGCGAAAGCGCUCUACUGGGCCGCAACUGACACUCAUGGACGAAAGCGAGGGGAGCGAAAGGG